CCUACGGGAGGCAGCAGUGGGGAAUCUUGCACAAUGGGCGCAAGCCUGAUGCAGCCAUGCCGCGUGUAUGAAGAAGGCCUUCGGGUUGUAAAGUACUUUCAGUCGUGAGGAAGGUGUUAAGGUUAAUAACCUUAGCAAUUGACGUUAGCGACAGAAGAAGCACCGGCCAACUCCGUGCCAGCAGCCGCGGUAAUACGGCGGGUGCGAGCGUUAAUCGGAAUUAAUGGGCGUCAAGGGCACGCAGGCGGUUUAAUAGGAUGGAAGUCGAAACCGCCGGCUUAACCCGGGAAUGGCCUUCAAGGCUAAGUAGGUUGUGUCCUGUAGGGGGGGGUAGAAAUGCGACUGUGGCGGGGUAGUGCGUUGGGAGGGGGAAGGAUCACCAUGGCGAAGGCCGGCACCUGGACAAAGAGUAACACCAGAGUCAGAAAGACUGGGAAGCAAACAGGAUUAGAUACCCGAGUAGUA
rnacentral:rRNA from 1 species